UACGUAGGGAGCGAGCGUUGUCCGGAUUUAUUGGGCGUAAAGAGCGCGUAGGCGGCUCGGUAAGCCGGAUGUGAAACCUCCAAGCUCAACUUGGAGCGGCCAUUCGGAACUGCUGUGGCUAGAGUCUGGUAGGGGAACACGGAAUUCCUGGUGUAGCGGUGAAAUGCUUAGAUAUCAGGAGGAACACCAGUGGCGAAGGCGGUGUUCUGGGCCAGUACUGACGCUGAGGAGCGAAAGCGUGGGGAGCAAACAGG
rnacentral:rRNA from 1 species